rnacentral:rRNA from 1 species
GACGAACGCUGGCGGCGUGCUUAAUACAUGCAAGUAGAACGGAAAGGCCCUGCUUUUGUUGGGUGCUCGAUUGGCGAACGGUUGAGUAACACGUGAGUAACCUGCCCUUGACUUUGGGAUAACUUCAGGUAACUGGGGCUAAUACCGGCUAGGAGCUCCUGCUACUUGUUGUUGGUUGGUAAGUUGCGGCGGGUGGGGAUGGAAUCGCGGCUAAUCAGCUUGUUGGUGUGGUAGUGGCUUACCAAGGCUUUGACGGGUAGCCGGCCUGAGAGGGUGACCGGCCACAGUGGGACUGAGAUACGGGCAAGACUGCUACGGGAGGCAUCGGUGGGAAUCAGUGCAAGAUGGGCGGAAGCAGGAUGCAGCAACGCCGCGUGGGGGAUGACGGCCUUCGGGGUGUAACCCGCUUGCGCCUGUGACGAAGCGUGAGUGACGGUAAUGGGUAAGGAAGCAACGGCUAACUACGUG